UGAAAUAAACGGAUCGCCCCUCCUGGGGCUCCUUGCUUGGCUAGCUGUGUCCGCCUCUCCUUCGUCCUCAGCUGGAACGGACAGAAAUUUCUAGGACAAGUUUUUCCUUUCUUGUCUCAGUUCCUCUCCUGUGAGCUGCGGGGAAGGGCGGAGAUGAAGGACUCAUGAGAUGUAAUCUAUCUGGCUGGCGCGGACAAGGGUGUAAAACCCCAACAAACCUGUAAUCCCCCUUUCUAGGUGGGGUGCGAGGACACGUAUAGAAACCCCCCCGAUCUCAGUGCCAGGGGGGCAGGCAGGGGCUGGGGAUGCUCGUGCUGAGAGCAAUGGAGAGGGCGGCAAUGGAAGGAACUACGCUGUUGUCAGCAGCUGCUGUCAGAGCUCCGGGGCGGAUCUGUUUCCGGUGCUGGUCCCGCUGCUGCCCGGGACUCGGCUCUCGGACCCACCCACCGAGGCUGAUCACAAUGGUGCCUUCUGGUCUCACAGUCUAUGAAUCUUUGACAGCAUGGAUUCCCGCUCGUCCAGAGAAACUGCCGAAGAAGAUGGAGGCAGAGCUGAGAAUCUGCUGCUGAUCGGAACCGGCUUUGCUUUGAGGCCAUGUGGACCCACACUUGAACCGCUUCAGUUGAACUGCUGCAAGCGUGUGUGUGGACACUCUUAUUUCAGUUUAGCUUAAACCUCUUCCUAGAGGACUUGGAGCUAAAUCGCAAUCAGUCUGGUUAAAACGGGAACACACGCACGUUCACUGGCUGAGCACCAUGCCUUUAAACUAAACCGGUGCGUAACUGAAUAUACAUGGAUCCUGAAUCGCAGAGAGCUGCAGCCAGUGAGAUAGAGCUGCUCGGAGUCCAGCAUGCCCCCCAGGGACUCCAAGAGAGAGGAGAGAUGGAGGAGCGCUUUGACUGCAGUGGAGGUGCGGAGAGAGGCCCUGGGUCUAACCACACGCUCAGGAAAUGGGCUUCCCGUCAAGUCCUAGUCCCAGCUGUCGUCCUCGCUGCAGUCACAGUUUUUAUGUUGAUCACCAUCAUCACUAUCGCUGCUUUAGCAGAACUGUUAAGAGGUAAUUGCAUGGCCCAGCCAGUCUCUGCUCCCCCUGGAGCUGUCGCAGCCACAGAAUCUCUCCUCCCCGUCCCCUUUGGCUUCGGCAAUCAGGCGAGAAAGGAGUUUGUCUAAAGGCGUAUGCAGCCCCUGUUACCUUAGUAGCUGGAGAUCUGUGAGGCACAGAGGGAUUGUUAUCUCUGUUUUCUGGAUGGGGAAACCGAGGCCCAGAGAGAUCAAGUGGGGGUGUUUUCAAGGUGCUAAAACUUCCUACACCUCAGAGCUUCCCAGCUCCCCAGACACAUAUUGCAUGUCUAGAGUAAAGUGCACAUGGAACUGUAGGAUCAGCAGUGCUAAAAGGGCACAUUAUUGACAGACCUUAUUGUUGACUUCUAUACCNNNNNNNNNNCGGGGAUUUGGAGCCCAAAAAGCCGGACAUGUCUGGGAAAAUCCGGACGUAUGGUAACCCUAGCUCCCCUUAAGGGGAGGGGAAGGAGUUGAGUGUCCAGUCUCAGACUGUGGGGUGGGGGUGGGUGCAGCUGGAGUUGGCAGGCUCAGUGACUGGCUGUGGAGGGGGAAGUCUGAUUCCUCCAGGCAGAGGGCAAAGGCCGAGCAUGGGGCAGAGUAAAGGUGAGCGUGAGACAUGUUCCCAUCCCUCACCCCUCUGGGCAACUGUGAGCUAAGAGCCAGUCUGGGUAGCAGCUUUGUGAGAGUCUGUGGGAGGAGCAAUGGGAGAGAUUGAAUAAGUAUUGGGCCAUCCUGGUCGGGCGAAUGUGGGGUCAUUUGGGACGGGGCGAGUUUAUCAUUGUAUUUAUCUGACUGGGGGGAAGUGCAGCAGCCUGGGAAUCACAGUAGAUAUUUGCUGACAGCGGCUCAGGCACGGCUACGGUUACUGAGUCUGCUCCCCAGAAGCACUCAUGGCUUUGUCUCUUUCAGGCCCUGGGUCUAACCACACGCUCAGGAAAUGUGCUUCCCGUCAAGUCGUAGUCCCAGCUGUCGUCCUAGCUGCAGUCACAGUUUUUAUGUUGAUCACCAUCAUCACUAUCGCUGCUUUAGCAGAACUUUUAAGAGGUAAGUGCAUGGCCCAGCCAGUCUCUGCUCCCCCUGGAGCUGUUGCAGCCACAGAAUCUCUCCU
ensembl:lncRNA